ACGGGUGAGUAUAAUGUGGGUAUCUGCCCUUUGGUUUGGAAUAACACGAGGAAACUUGUGCUAAUACCGGAUAAGCCUUCACAGGGAAAGCUUUAGCGCCAAAGGAUGAGCUCGCACUUGAUUAGCUAGUUGGUAGGGUAAUGGCCUACCAAGGCAACGAUCAAUAGCUGUUCUUAGAGGAAGACCAGCCACAUUGGGACUGAGACACGGCCCAAACUCCUACGGGAGGCAGCAGUGGGGAAUCUUGCACAAUGGGGGAAACCCUGAUGCAGCGAUGCCGCGUGAGUGAAGAAGGCCUUUGGGUUGUAAAGCUCUUUCGUCGGGGAAGAAAAUGACUGUACCCGAAUAAGAAGGUCCGGCUAACUUCGUGCCAGCAGCCGCGGUAAUACGAAGGGACCUAGCGUAGUUCGGAAUUACUGGGCUUAAAGAGCUCGUAGGUGGUUAAGAAAGUUGGUGGUGAAAUCCCAAGGCUUAACCUUGGAACUGCCAUCAAAACUUUUUGACUAGAGUAUGAUAGAGGUAAGUGGAAUUUCUAGUGUAGAGGUGAAAUUCGUAGAUAUUAGAAAGAACACCAAUUGCGAAGGCAGCUUUCUGGAUCAUUACUGACACUGAGGAGCGAAAGCAUGGGUAGCGAAGAGGAUUAGAUACCCUCGUAGUCCAUGCUGUAAAACGAUGUGUGC
rnacentral:rRNA from 1 species